GAGUUACGAUUUGAUGCAAGGUUAAGCAGUAAAUGUGGAGCCGUAGCGAAAGCGAGUCUGAAUAGGGCGUUUAGUAUUUGGUCGUAGACCCGAAACCAGGUGAUCUACCCUUGGUCAGGUUGAAGUUCAGGUAACACUGAAUGGAGGACCGAACCGACUUACGUUGAAAAGUGAGCGGAUGAACUGAGGGUAGCGGAGAAAUUCCAAUCGAACCUGGAGAUAGCUGGUUCUCUCCGAAAUAGCUUUAGGGCUAGCCUCAAGUGAUGAUUAUUGGAGGUAGAGCACUGUUUGGACGAGGGGCCCCUCUCGGGUUACCGAAUUCAGACAAACUCCGAAUGCCAAUUAAUUUAACUUGGGAGUCAGAACAUGGGUGAUAAGGUCCGUGUUCGAAAGGGAAACAGCCCAGACCACCAGCUAAGGUCCCAAAAUAUAUGUUAAGUGGAAAAGGAUGUGGCGUUGCCCAGACAACUAGGAUGUUGGCUUAGAAGCAGCCAUCA
rnacentral:rRNA from 1 species